rnacentral:rRNA from 1 species
CCCUUAGAUGUCCUGGGCCGCACGCGUGCUACACUGACGCCUACAGCGAGUACUUCCCAGCCCCGAGAGGUGGCUGGUAAUCAGCAAUAGGCGUCGUGAUGGGGAUAGAUCUUUGGAAUUAUGGAUCUUGAACGAGGAAUGCCUAGUAAGCGCAGGUCAUUAGCCUGCGCUGAUUAAGUCCCUGCCUUUUGUACACACCGCCCGUCGCUCCUACCGAUUUCGAGUGGUCCGGUGAAUCUUUCGGACUGCGCGCGGCCUCGUGCCGUGUCGCGGAAAGUCAGGUAAACCUUAUCACUUAGAGGAAGGAGAAGUCGUAACA